rnacentral:rRNA from 1 species
GACGAACGCUGGCGGCGUGCUUAACACAUGCAAGUCGAACGGUGAAGCGCCUUCCUUUUUGGUGGGUGUGGAUGAGUGGCGAACGGGUGAGUAACACGUGAGUAACCUGCCCCCUUCUUCUGGAUAACCGCAUGAAAGUGUGGCUAAUACGGGAUAUUCUGGGUCUGUCGCAUGAUGGGUCUGGGAAAGAUGUUGUUUCGGUGGGGGAUGGGCUCGCGGCCUAUCAGCUUGUUGGGGGGGUGAUGGCCUACCAAGGCGGUGACGGGUAGCCGGCCUGAGAGGUUGGACGGUCGCGCGGGUACUCAGACACGGUGCAGCCGAGUAAGGGAGGCAGCAGUGGCGAAUAGUGGACGAUGGGCGUAAGGCUGAUGGAGCGACGGCGUGUGAGGGAUGGACGCCGUCGGGUAGUGAGCCUCUUGCGUCAGAGAAGCAGGCCUGCUUUGAUGGUGGUGGGUUGACGGUAGCUGGAAAAGAAGCGCCGGCUAACUACGUG